AUUGAACGCUGGCGGCAGGCUAACACAUGCAAGUCGAGCGGAGAUGAGGUGCUUGCACCUUAUCUUAGCGGCGGACGGGUGAGUAAUGCUUAGGAAUCUGCCUAUUAGUGGGGGACAACAUUCCGAAAGGAAUGCUAAUACCGCAUACGUCCUACGGGAGAAAGCAGGGGAUCUUCGGACCUUGCGCUAAUAGAUGAGCCUAAGUCGGAUUAGCUAGUUGGUGGGGUAAAGGCCUACCAAGGCGACGAUCUGUAGCGGGUCUGAGAGGGUGAUCGGGCACACUGGGACUGAGGCACGGCCCAGACUCCUACGGGAGGCAGGAGUGGGGAAUAUUGGGCAAUGGGGGGAACCCUGAUCCAGCCAUGCCGCGUGUGUGAAGAAGGCCUUAUGGUUGUAAAGCACUUUAAGCGAGGAGGAGGCUACUGAGACUAAUACUCUUGGAUAGUGGACGUUACUCGCAGAAUAAGCACCGGCUAACUCUGUGCCAGCCGCCGCAGUAAGAC
rnacentral:rRNA from 1 species